rnacentral:rRNA from 1 species
AGUGAACGCUGGCGGUAGACCUAACACAUGCAAGUCGAACGGCAGCACAGUAAGAGCUUGCUCUUACGGGUGGCGAGUGGCGGACGGGUGAGGAAUACAUCGGAAUCUACUUUUUCGUGGGGGAUAACGUAGGGAAACUUACGCUAAUACCGCAUACGCCCUACGGGUGAAAGCAGGGGAUCUUCGGACCUUGCGCGAUUGAAUGAGCGGAUGUGGGAUUAGCUAGUUGGGGGGGUAAAGGCCUACCAAGGCGACGAUCCGUAGCUGGUCUGAGAGGAUGAUCGGCCACACUGGAACUGAGACACGGUCCAGACUCCUACGGGAGGCAGCAGUGGGGAAUAUUGGGCAAUGGGCGCAAGCCUGACGCAGCCAUACCGCGUGGGUGAAGAAGGCCUUCGGGUCGUAAAGCCCUUUUGUUGGGAAAGAAAAGCAGUAGAAUAAUACGCCGCUGUUCUGACGGUACCCAAAGAAUAAGCACCGGCUAACUACGUG